CCAAUAUUUGCACCAAAAAAAAAAAUCUAUUGCUAAUCUGAGUCUAAGAGACACAAAGGAAAACAAGCAAAAGCAGGUAGAAGGUUAUGAAAUAUACUAGGGAAAGACACUGGUAAUGAAAACAAAAGGAGAGUGAAAAAUGAUUAUAGAUGCUAAGUAUCUAGAAACAACAUGAUCUUUGACCUGAAUUUUAUUUCCAAGGCCUUUCUGCCCUAAAAGUCUGUGGCUAGAAUCUCCAUCAUCAUGUCUUCCAACUUUGCUGCCCAAGCUUGAAGAGAAACACCAUGGUCCUUUUGCACUCUCAGAAUCAAAUUCUCUCAAGAGUCUUGCUUUUCUAUAGGAAUAUUAGACCCCUUGGAAGUUGUGACUCCUUUUCUAUGGCUGAUUUUUCUUUGGUGAUGUUUAUCUUAUUCUGUGCCAAAGUAUAAAUAUGGGCUGAAAAGUAAAGGCUGGCCAGGCGCUGGUGGCUCAGGCCUGUAAACGCAGCUACUCAUCUGAAGAUCAC